rnacentral:rRNA from 1 species
UACGUAGGUGGCAAGCGUUGUCCGGAUUUACUGGGCGUAAAGAGCGCGCAGGCGGUGGAUUAAGUCGAGUGUGAAAGCCCCCGGCUCAACUGGGGAGGGUCACUUGAUACUGGUCGACUCGAAGGCAGGAGAGGGAAGUGGAAUUCCCGGUGUAGUGGUGAAGUGCGUAGAUAUCGGGAGGAACACCAGUGGCGAAGGCGACUUCCUGGCCUGUUCUUGACGCUGAGGCGCGAAAGCUAGGGGAGCAAACGGG